rnacentral:lncRNA from 1 species
CGUAAACCUGGUUUACAUAUUUUCAUUCUUAAUGCUCAGUAAUCUUAAGGAAAGUCACCUGAAAGAAUACUUUUUCACCAAGUACUCUUCUGCGCCUGUUCGAAGGUGUCUGUGUGCUUGUGAAGCGCUCCCUUGUUAGUUCCUUCUGUGAGACUCGGGGGAGACUGAACAGGGAAAUCACCUGCGGGGAAUGAACAGGAAAGCAAUAAGAAGAUUUGGAAAAGAGGCACUGGCUACUGGAGGAAGGGAGAAAUCACCGAGAGAGCGAAAGAUGUAACAGAAAAAAAAGGCCUUAUGAAGACAUUGCAAAAGGACAACUAUCUGCAAACCAGGAAGAGAGACCUCACCAGAAAUCAACCCUGCUGGUGGUACCUUGAUCUUAGAC